AUGCUGAGGAGCAAGCAGCUCCCGACGUUCUAUUUCGUGCAGCUUGAGGCCAUCAGGGUGGGAGGCAAGCAGCUCAACAUACCCACCUCCGUCUUUUCGGCCGGCUCGAUCAUGGACUCCGGCACAAUCAUCACGCGCCUGCCGCGGACCGCGUACUCGGCGCUGUCGUCGGCGUUCAAGGCCGGCAUGAAGCAGUACCCGCCGGCACAGCCCAGGGCCAGGGGCAUCCUCGACACGUGCUUCGACUUCAGCGGCCAGUCCACCGUCAACAUACCGAGCGUCACACUGGUGUUCUCCGGGGGCGCCGUCAUCGACCUGGCCUUUAACGGGAUCAUUCUGGACAACUGCCUCGCCUUCGCGGCCAACCGCGAUGACAGCUCCCUCGGCACCAUUGGCAAUGUGCAGCAGCAGACGUUCGAGGUGCUCUACGACGUUGGUGGCGGCGUCGUCGGGUUCAAGGCAGGCACAUAUGUAUAA
rnacentral:rRNA from 1 species